GCUCAGAUUGAACGCUGGCGGCAGGCCUAACACAUGCAAGUCGAGCGGAUGAAGGGAGCUUGCUCCCUGAUUCAGCGGCGGACGGGUGAGUAAUGCCUAGGAAUCUGCCUGGUAGUGGGGGACAACGUUUCGAAAGGAACGCUAAUACCGCAUACGUCCUACGGGAGAAAGCAGGGGACCUUCGGGCCUUGCGCUAUCAGAUGAGCCUAGGUCGGAUUAGCUAGUUGGUGAGGUAAUGGCUCACCAAGGCGACGAUCCGUAACUGGUCUGAGAGGAUGAUCAGUCACACUGGAACUGAGACACGGUCCAGACUCCUACGGGAGGCAGCAGUGGGGAAUAUUGGACAAUGGGCGAAAGCCUGAUCCAGCCAUGCCGCGUGUGUGAAGAAGGUCUUCGGAUUGUAAAGCACUUUAAGUUGGGAGGAAGGGUUGCUGAUUAAUACUCUGCAAUUUUGACGUUACCGACAGAAUAAGCACCGGCUAACUCUGUGCCAGCAGCCGCGGUAAUACAGAGGGUGCAAGCGUUAAUCGGAAUUACUGGGCGUAAAGCGCGCGUAGGUGGUUUGUUAAGUUGGAUGUGAAAGCCCCGGGCUCAACCUGGGAACUGCAUCCAAAACUGGCAAGCUAGAGUAGGGCAGAGGGUGGUGGAAUUUCCUGUGUAGCGGUGAAAUGCGUAGAUAUAGGAAGGAACACCAGUGGCGAAGGCGACCACCUGGGCUCAUACUGACACUGAGGUGC
rnacentral:rRNA from 2 species